UGCUCCACGUCUAGUCUACAUUACAUAUUAUUUUCCCAAAACUUGAUACCUAAGAGAGGUAUCCUACUUGAAUGAUGAAAUCAUUGCGGUCGCAAUGGGUUCAUCAUCAUAAGUCCUUUUAUUUCACAAACUCCCAUAUCCCGUGUUACACAUCAUCUUUUAAAAACCAUCCUAAAUUAAUAAGCAGGGCUAAGCAUCACUAAAUUUUCAUAAAAUAGGUAUUAGGGUUGUUUAAUCAAAGAAGGAAAUGCAUCAACUGUUUGAUCACACAACUCCUAUCACCUAAUGCAUCAUUCAAGGUGAUAAAACUUUUUAAAACAGAAGGAGGUGGCAAAUGCACCGGGGCUUGCUUGGAUAACACUAGGUUAGUGUUGUUAGACGACGUCCGCUUGACGACCAUCUUUUGUCUUGACAUUCGUCAGAUUAUCCAUCUUCAGGUUCGUCCGACUGACGACGUCGUCUUGCGGCAGAGGUCCACUCCUAGCACCAUCUUGAGGUCAACUUGGCUCGUCUUCCGCAUCACGCGAUCAAUUAAUGUACCUCAUGGGAUGCACGAUGCACAUGUAUGAGCACGAGUAUAAAUAGUACAAGAUAGAUAAUCUACACUAAAAAGGAUGAAACACUUAUAACCAAGCAUAUUUUAUACAAUAUACCAAUUACAACUUUAGAACUAAAAGACCUAAAGUGUUUAUACGCAUUACUUAUCAGGCAGAUCCUAUAUUUUGGUUGAAACAAAUAUAUCGAUGUUACUUGAUCCUAAAUAUUCGAAGUAGCAAUCAACAUCCAUUCAAAUCAUGAAAUCAACCAACACAUAUUCAUGCCUAGUUUAGAGAGCACACUAAUUGACUUACAAUUUUGGCUUCACGAUUCUGGGACACCUAAUGUUUAUAAAAUUCAUCAAAGAACUUUUAUUAACUUUCUAAACUAAUUUUCCGGCUAACAUGUGUAUUACACAUAUUAAUAAAACAUUAUAUUUUUAACACGUACAGUCCCGCAAGCACUGGGACCUAUUGCGACCUCUUUCUUCACAUGACAUCGACCAAAUCACUGUAGACGACUUGGGCAUCCUAAUAAAUAGUAUACGUACCCCAUGUCACACAUAUACUAAAGGCAAUAGGACUGAUAUAAUUAGUAUACCUACAGUUCCCUUUAUCAAACUAAUAACCGAAUUAGCAAUCCGACUCACUACAGAGUCAUCACGAUUAAUAUACCUAGUCAGACUAUUCAUCAGUUCACUAACACGAAUUUCAAAUUUGCUUACCCUAACUAAUUCGACGUGAUAGUCGGAAGCACGAUGACGGUUUCCGGUUGACGUCUUUGAUCACACACGUCUGGCGAGCAAAGCACAUAGUUUCUAUUCUUGACCAAAUACCCAUGGAUUCCUUUUUGUCGAGACGGUGACGCGUGGCCAUCACAAGAGCGUCCUCACGACUUGGGGCUUGGCGUAGACGAGGAUGGUGAUCAACGACAUCGACAUGCAAGCGUGACGAUUUUUCAUUCGACGAAGACGAUGGCAGUACGACUCGUUCGAACCUUUUGUCGAGCACCUGGUGAACAUCGUAUAGGGUAAGUCCGAUGCGGCGCUUAGGAUGAUGGCGCGGGGAGACAUGCCAAAAUCCUGGACGCGACGGCGAUUUCACACCGAGGCGACCAAUGGGGGCAGCACCCAGGCACACACGACACGAACCAGGCAACCAGCUGCCUACGGCGCAGCAGGGACAGAGGGAGGAGCGCAGCGCGACGGGGAUUAAGGCUGAGCGAUCCUAGCGGGCGCGCUGGCGAGCAGGAAGCCGCGUGCGAGAGAUCGAGACCGAGCAGAGAGAGCUGCCUGGCAGCGCAGCGGCCCACGUCCGCGGCAAGCAGGCUGGGCGCCGAGCAGGGAGCGGAGGGAGAUGGACCGGCUCGGCACGCGCUGGAAGCUCGGACCAAGACGCAGGGAGCCGGCCAUGGAGCUUGGGGAGCUGCGCAUGGAGGCGAACUCGGCACGGCGGGGGACGACGGAACGCUGCGCGCGUGUCUAGGGAGAGAGGGAAGCACGGGAGCGAGCUGAGGAAGAGAGAGAGAGCGCACCGUGGGGAAGGGAGCAGAGCGCGCACAUGGAGGAGGAAGAAGACCUGGCGGCCGGCGCUCAUCCGGGCGAGCAGAAACCAGGGCUGCGGUGCGGGAGCUGGAGGCGCUCGGCAGGAAGCGCGACUGCGCGUAGGGAGAGCCACGACGCUUAGCCAUGGGAGCAGUGGAGCGCGCAGGGGCGAGCACCAGAGAAGGAGCGAGCGGCCGAGCUGGGGACUAGGCAGAGGAACUCGAGCAGGCAGGGGAGAGAGCGCGCGCCACCACGGGCGAGCUGGAGGCCGAGCUGUAGCAGGGAGGAAGACGCUCGCUAGCGCAGGGAAGCUGGGAGAAGCGACGCGAUGGAGCUUCAGCAGAGGAUUGCUGCGCGCGUAGAUAAAGAUCAGGGCGGCCAGGAAAAAAAAUAACCCCCCGGCGGCUGAAGAUAGGAGCGCGCGAGGAGAAAAAUCAAGGCGCGGUCAGAAGAAAAAUCAGGGAGGAGAUUUUUCUCAUUUUUCUGCUCUCUUUCUUUUUUAAGAGAAUUAUAGAUAUUUUAGAUCAUGAUUUUUAGCGAUAAUCAAAGGUUCGACGCGCUAUACAACUACACAUAUUAUUUUCUCGGAUUUUGAAAUAGGAAACCGAAUUGGCCAGCAAUUGUUCCGGUUUCGGUUUAUUUAAACAGUCCGUCCCAAGUAGCGCAUUUAUCGAAUUUAUAGAGAUUACUCGAACCGAGCGAAAUACUUAAGCGACAAUUUUAGUUCAUGUUAAUCGACUAAUUUUAAACUGGCACUACGCUCGACAUUUUAGAAAUAAAUAAAUUUUAAACGGUGCGAGCCCAAUGCGGCAUCGCAAUCGAAAUUUCCCGGAGACGACGUGAGCAUUGUCACGGGAGCGAGAUAUAGACGGAUAAAACCAGGCGAAAUCAGAUUCGAUAUUUUAGUCGACGUUUGAUUUAGUUGAACCUAAACAAAUUUCGCCUUCUAUCUAAAUAUUCAAUCGGAGAACAACUCAAUUAACAAUCCUGCGCCUCGUUUUUCUCGGAUUCCGAGUGUGGUCCCAUUUAAUUUUACAUUAAGACUUUUAUCACCGAGUUCAAAUUAAUUUGCCCGGGACAAAAAUCACAAGACUGGGUGAAAUUUCCAGACUCGUAUCGCGUAAUUAAUGAAUUUUAAAUAGGCACAGGACUCGCAAUCUUUCAGAACAAUUACAUUCCGAAAUUUGUGAAAAUUUUAAGAAGAGUCUAAAUAGACAGAAACAGAUGCGAUAUUAAAAUCGCGAUAGACGAAAAUGAAUAAAAUUUAGAAUCCGUUUUCUCUACCGUUGUCACGUGUUAAAGUCCGCAUUCGAGGUCGAGCAGACGAUAAACACCUGGGGUGUUACAGCCCUCCCCCUUAAAAGAAUCUUGUCUCGAGAUUCGGAGUGAAAGACUUUUAAGUGUAGAGAAGCAUAUAACCCAUGUCCAUAUCAGCGAUAACCAUGAGACAUUUCCAAGCAAAGGCGAGUGUCUCAGGAUGUCGUUUCUCUAGUGGACAUAUCAUAUAUCGUCGUAGGCUAAUUUAGAGAUGUCCAACGAUAGAGACGAUGUCUGCCAGAAGAACAUAUAAGGUUCCAUGUGUGCAGUUUGCUUUUUUCUGAUAACACUAUACUAUCUGAGUCUGUUGAGCGAGCGGCAAAUACAUGAUUUUACUCAAACAGAAUCAGUUGCAACCUCUUGGGUAAAACACACAGAAAGAGGUUUACCAACAAGUGGUCACGGUAAGUUCAUAGCACACGAGACGGGUGUGAAUAUCGAAUAACAUCACAGUUAACUCGUGUUAGCCAAAAAUUGAAGUCCAAGAAAAAUGAUAGAGACUCGAAAAAUUACUGAUGAAGGGAUCUGUAAAUGCUGACUUCGUGUCUAAUCCAUUUUAUCGAGCACUAAGCAUGACUCGACCUGAUCACUCAUGAUGGAAAAGCACACGUGAGGCGAAAGAGGCAUGACAAGAGCUGUGGUUAAGCUGUUAAUAGUUAGCUGAGGAUGGCAAAAUACCUCGACCAACAAGGUAAAGUUAAGAUGCAUAUGCUCAUAAUCUAAUCCAAUAUGGCACAAGAUCUGCGCAUAUGUUCAUAACCUUCACUUGAUCUUCACCAGAUUUUCUUCAGGAUAGGCUGAACUAAAGUGAGUUUAGACAACUCAAUAAAACGAUCUCUAAACUCAAUCUUUGUUCACAAAGCAGUUACAGGUUAGUAAAACCAACUUGUUUAAUUACCUUUGACAUUGAGCAGGUCCUCUCAGUACCAUCGAUAAGCCAAGGGAUAGAGUUCACUUUUGCCAAUGUUGGGGACUUGUUCUCAAAUGCUAUGAAUUAAGAACAAGUCAACACAGAAACAAGUUAACGGUGAAUGCCCUUCGUCCUUUGAAGCAUUAUUUCCCUUAGGAUAUAACGAUCUUCGGACGAAGGUCAUGAAGGACAUACCUUCAUCAUCACAGUUUAUGUUGAUAAAAGGAGAAGCAUAUGAAACAUGAGAGAAUAACAUGGAUAAUCACAUAACAUUAUUUAUGUGUCUUUAUUAUAUAAUCAUGGAUGAAUAAAAACAAUAUUGAAUUACAUUUGUACCUUCGGCUUGACAGAAGGUGAAAGUACAAGCGUGACGCACGAGCGAGUACAAGUCAGCAUGAACAGUACAGGGGUAUUGUUCAUCUAUUUAUAGGCACAGGACGUAGCCUGUGUAAAAUUACAUUCAUGCCCUUCAUAUUCAGUAUUGACUUAAGAACAAUCUAUCGAGGACUAAAUAGCCUUUUCCUCCUUAAGUCGGUUCCUUUUUCUGCUAUUGAGCCGAAGCUUCCUUGCGCACAGCUUUGGCGCUGGUUCAACCUUUGUUCUAACCCUGCUUUCCAUAUUGUGUACAGCUUCAUCCCAAGUUUGAAGGUUCCUAUGCAUAUAUUAUGCUUGGGAAACAUUGUUAAUCAUGUUUUUGAGGACCUUCGGAAGACAAAGGCCCCCAACAGUAGCCCCUCGCAGUAUUAAUUUGUUAUAUUUACAAAUUCAGACUGCAACGUGAACGGAGGCCUUAAGCCGAAGGUCCAAAAAACACCUUCCCUUUGCUAGAAUAGCAACAAUCAAUGAUAGACGGGGCCCUCCAAGUUGCAGGGUGCUAGGCGUAUAAAUAUGAACUCACACCGGCUGCAUUUGAUACAGUGUUUCUGCCAUUUGCAUUAUUUUCUCAAACUUUUAGCUCUUGCUCACUAGCGCUCGCUAGAUUUUCAAGAUUUAUGAGCUUCGGUUAAAAGAUGCAUCUUUACCAUGUCUGGGGAAAAUGACUGAGAAGGAGAAGCUGACUGAAAAGAUGAAGCUAUUUGAGGAGAAGAAGGUUGUGGAUCCUUGUAUUGCUGGAUUUAUUGAGUCGAUGGCAAAGACAAACACAAAGAAGAUUACUAAAGAGAUACUGGAAGGUUUAUCUAAAGAUACUAGUGACAGCGAUAGCUAUGAUGUGGAAAGUGGGGGUGAAGAUUCUGAAGAUCGGCCCUGGCGACCAAGCCAUGAUGUCUUCGGAAAAUCGACCAUUAAACAGAGUGAUCUUGAGAACAUGUGAGGAAGGUACUUUCAGGAUAUGUCUAUCGUGAGGGCUGGUGGAGACAACAAGGUCCCUGCCUGAGGAAGACGAAGUUGUUAUCUACCGAAGCUUUUUAAGGCUGGACUUCAGUUUCCUUUGAACAAGUUUGUAGUUGAAGUACUGAAGAUCUACCAGAUCUUCCUUCAUCAGAUCACCCCCGAAGCUAUAAUGAGGAUGGAGAUUUUUGCCUGGGCUGUAAGGAGUCAAGGGCUAGAGCCAAGUGCGAAGUGCUUCUGUAGUAUGCACGAGCUCUUAUACGAGACGAAGGCUAUUGGCAAAGAACAGUACCACAACAACUUUGGUUGUUAUGGAUUUAUUGCUCGCUCCAACGCAAGCCACCCGGUGCCAACGUUUCGGAAGAGAUGGCCCGGAGCCUAGAUGGAAGAGUGGUUUUAUGUGAAGAAUGAUUUAAAGGCAAGGGAAGAGAUUAAAGAAAUCAUCAUGCGCCCCAUCUAGUCACGCUUCGGCCUCCGAAGGCUGAAGGUGGAAAUUGAUGACACUAUCGAAGCGUGUCAGAGGGCUUUCAGCACUGUUUGCUCCUUCAUCGGCACAAGAGAUAUAAUUCAAGAACAUAUAGCCUUCAAGGUAUGGCCGCUCGUGGAAAACUGGGAAAUGCCGAAGGAGACCACCACUAAUUCUAAUGAUGGCGGUCUGGUCCGACUGAAAUAUACCUUCAGAUUUAGGGAGAAAUUUGAUGAACCAAACGACGAUUGGCUGAAGUGUAUUGAAGCUACCACCGAUGAGCUGCUUGGAGCUUACUCCAAGACCGAAGAUAACGCUCUGUCCGCAGCCUUCGGAGGUCGGGGGAAGAAAAGACUAAACAGGGUUUUUGAUGCGAUCGGCUUCAUAUACCCCGAUUAUCGCUACCCGCUGCGAGGGCAACAGAAAAAGUGGAAGAUUGCUACUUCGGUAAUCCCAGCUGAGCCUGUACCGAAGAGCAAAAAGGUGAAGGUUCUGACCCACCGGCCACGUUAUAUUGAGCCGACCGUAGUGCCUAAAUUUGGCGUAGGGUCCUCCUCAGCAGCCGAAGCAACAGAAACUACUCCGAUUGCAUAGAGCAAUGAAGAGGCGACCGUAAUGCCGAAGGUAUCCAUAGCCGAGCCAGUCAAAGAUAAGGUUGAUAAGGCUGAAGAAUCAAAGGCUGAAAAAAUAAUGCAAGUUCCAAAAAUUCUGAGCCAUCCGAUAGAGGAAACACUGCCGAAGGUGCAAAAGGCUUCUGCUGCAACUCCCAAGAGGAGGAGAAUGGGCAACGUGCUGGAUGCUGUGCUUUAAACUGCGAAGGUUUUAAGCCCUGCUGCUACAAAAAAAGUUGCUGAAACUCCAAAAACGCAGGCCGAAGCCAAAACUAGACAAGCAGAAACUGAAGCUGUGCAAGCUCAAACUGAAGCCAAAGAUGGGCCUUUAGUGCCCACCGAGAUGGUGCCUGCUGACCCCAAGGAAAAACGACAGAGCAGAUUGCAUCUAAAAAAAUUGAAGCUCUUGCUCCUGAAGCUUUGAACAAAAGUAUUGACUACAUUAUUCGUCAUGCUUCGGGAAAAGAACUAUCCCAAGAAGAAUUGUUAGAAGCACGACACUACGCCCAAAAAUUGAAAUAUCCGAAGGGGGCGUUAGUGUUCAAUGGUAGUGACGAAGAAGAUUUUCUGUACUGUCUCCCAGAUAACAAAGAAAUAUACGUUUGCCGGGAGAUAGGUAAAAGCAUCGGAUUCCCGAAGCUGGAAGACGGCCUUUCGAUUUUAUCGAAGGAUGAACUUGCUGACAGCCUAGCAUACGAUAGCAUAAAGGUAUAAAAACUAACUUUGAAUUUGAAAAUGAGAUAUUUCAUUUGUCAUACUCAAUUCUUUCCUCCUCUUGCAGGGCUUGAUUCUUAGUAAUGCCCUUAGGGCGCAGAAAAAUAUUGAAGACGAAGGCUAUACGAUGGCUCUGAACAACCUUCAUUCAGAGGUGAUUGAAUUGAGAAACGAAGGUCUUGAAAAAUACAAAAUCUUAAUUUCUCUGGUUAACAAAGUGAAAGAAAACGAAGCUUGUUUCAAAGCUCAGGCCGAAGCCCAAAAGAUUGAAAUUGAAGACCUUCGGAGGCAACUGGCCGAAGCUAAGGAAAAAUGCGCACUCGCAGAAGCUAACUAAGAAAUCAGCGAAUAUUGGAAAAAUCAUUUAGAGAAAAAUGUUGAAGAACUUCGCACAUCCAAGGAAAGGUGCUUUGAAAAAUCCUUGGAUUGUGUGAAGAAAAUAAAAGCUAAUUUCGCCAAAGUGGGUGCCUAUUCUGCCGAAGAAAACUUCAUACGAGGUGACCCCGAAGGUGUUAUUGAAUGGAUAAGUGGAGAAGCCGAGACCUUCGAAGAAAUUUUAAGUGAUCGCGGGGAUGUUUGCGCGUUUUCCGGUGCACGUGGAAUUUCAGCCAUCUUGGAGAAGGCGGGAUGCGACCAUAUUAAAACCAUGGCCCAGAGCGAAGCUGCCUUCUCUAUAGAUGAUACGAAGGAUCCUUCAGCUGAAGCAACCUUGAUGGGCGGAAAAUUCUAUAAUGAUGUCUGAGUGAAUGGUGGCCGAGAGAUGGCCCAUGAAAUUAUAAAGAAAAGUGAAAAGGAUACCCAUGACGCCCGAGCAGAAGCAAAGCGAGCCGAAGAAGCUGGAGAGCGCGAAAAACGUAUAGGUAUUACUUUUUGGCUUUUAGCUUCGGCGUUUGUUUUUGUGGCUUAGGGCUGAUUAACUUUUCCUACUUCAGCUGAAUUAUCUCCGCCGCCGGAACCGUUUGAUCCCCUAGCGGAUCCAGAAAUGAAGGAAGCGCUAGAAAUUAUAAGCAUGGCUGAAUCCAUUGUUGAUGAAGUUGUUAACAAAUUACUGGACAAAGUUGCAGAGAAAGUCCUUAAAGAGGAAUAGCACUUAUUGUAAAAACAUUUUGAGAUGGUCAAUGUAUGAGACACUAGAAUGGACAUUGUACUUUUAUUGCAACAAGACUGUAAUAUUUGAUGUGUGUAGCUUUGAAUCGAAUAUGUAAAUUAUUGUAAUUCAUUUCUUUGCGAUGCAUGAAACUUUGCAUACAUACCGUUUUUGAGCCUUCGGCGAAAAAAACACCUUCCCUUCUUUUCAUGCUUCGUAAAUAAAAAGAUCCAUGCUUCGCAAAAAUAUCCAUGCUUCGCAAAGAGGGAUCCCUUCUUUUGUUACAAGGCCGAUGAAGCUAUAUUUGCCGAAGCUUACUUCGUGUCUUAGCACAUUUUCAUUUUUACGAAGCAUUUGCCGAAGAUCAACUCCGUAUUCGAUUCUCGUAUCAUUGAUGCGAUAUGAUGUAUGAUGUGAUGCUAUGCGAAAUGAUGUGAUGAUAUGAUGCAAAAUGAUACUGAUGCCGAAGACACACAUCCACACACCCACACUGGAAUACACAAACUCUGCAUCCCCUUAGGAACGACUUUUGAGCUUCUUCACCGUAUAUUUUUCGGUGUUCACCGUUUAUUUUUCGGUGUAAGUUCUGCAUCCCCUUAGGAACGACUUUGGAACUUCUUCACCUUCUAUUUCGGCGGUAUAAGUUCUGCAUCCCCUUAGGAAUGACUUUUGAAUUUCUUCGCCUUAUAUUUCGGCGGUAUUUGGCUCUGCAUUCCCUUUGGAACAACUUUUGAGCAGAAAACGUACGCUGCACUCCCUUAGGAACGACUUUUGAAGCUUCGGUAAUUUUGGCUCUGCAUUCCCUUAGGAACGACUUUCGAGCUUAAAACUUACACUGCACUCUCUUAAGAACGACUUUUGAGUAGCUUCGGCAAAUUUAGCUCUGCAUUCCUUUAGGAACGACUUUUGAGCUUCAAAAUUCUAUGAGGAAGAUUUUGGGCAUCGUAAUUCUGUGAGGAAGAUUUAUUUCAUUCUGAUAGAAGCAAAAUCAUUACAAGAAUUUAAAACUAAAUUUACAUUACUUGUUCCUUACUAAAAAGAAAAAUGGCAUAGAACACAAAAGCAUUUCAGAGGUAGGAUAUCGCUCAGUAUAUGUGCUUCGAUUCUGGUAUAGUACUAUUGACUCGGACUCCUUCCUGAAGUCACAUUGUUGUUGGGAGCGUUGACGCCCUUCUGGCUGCUGGCUUCGGGAAUAAGUGGGCUGCAGUGGUGGUGGCGGUGGAAGCUGAGGCCAAGAAGCUUGUGAAUGACUUGCCGAAGCAACAGAGGCUGCAGGUUGAUUGCCCACGUAUUCCGGCAUGUAAGGAGAGUGGCACGAAGUAGUGUGCAAGACCUGCUUCGGCUGAUUCUGCCGAGCUUCAGCUUCGGCAAUCACCUUUUGUUUUAGAAUAGUGAUUUGGCACAUUCUUGUAGUGUGGCCCUUGUCUUCACCACAGAAUAAGCAAUAAAUUUUCCUGGGCUGAUCCCCAUAUCUUCCUUCGAAGCCCCCGGAGCCUCUGCCCCUUGGAGCUGGUGGCCUGAAGGAGCUUUGUUGUUGUCUCGAAGAUUGUGAGGUGUGAUGUGGCCUCUGAAGCUGGCUUCCUUUAUCGUCAUUCUGACUGGAGCUGUGGAUUGAUCUGACAUGCCUAGGGUGGAUUCUUCCUCCGAAGCCCUAGUCAUCUCAUAAAAUAUGUAAGCUUCUUCCCUUCUUUGUCGGAAGUCAUUGUUAGCUCGGAUGUACUCAUCCAUCUUCUGAAGCAGCUUCUCUAGAGUUUGGGGAGGUUUCCUGGCGAAGUAUUGAGCCGUGGGUCCUGGCUGAAGACCCUUGAUCAUGGCCUCAAUGACAAUUUCAUUGGGCGCUUGUGCUCUAAGUCGCAAGAACCUUUGGACAUACGCCUGAAGGUAUUCCUCAUGGUCUUGUGUGCACUGGAACAAGGCCUGAGCUGUGACUGGCUUCGUCUGAAAGCCUUGAAAACUGGUAACCAGCAUGUCCUUGAGCUUCUGCCACGAUGUGAUUGUCCCUGGCCGAAGGGAAGAAUACCAUGUCUGGGCCACGUUUCGGACUGCCAUGACGAAGGACUUUGCCAUGACAGCUGCAUUGCCUCCGUAUGAGGAUAUUGUUGCCUCAUAGCUCAUCUAGAAUUGCUUUGGGUCUGAGUGCCCAUCGUACAUGAGUAACUGAGGUGGCUUGUAGGAUUGUGGCCAUGGGAUAGCCUGCAAUUCUGCUGCCAGAGGAGAAGCAUCAUCAAAAGAAAAGGUACCGUGAUUAAAAUCAUCGUACCAUUCAUCUUCGUUGAAUGAGCCCUCCUGACGAAGCUCCCGGUGUUGGGGCCUUCGGUCGUGAUCAUCUUGAGUAAGAUGACGCACUUCCUCAGUAGCUUCGUCGAUCUUCUUCUGAAGGUCGGCCAGCCGAGCCAUCUUCUCCUUUUUCCUUUGCACCUGUUGGUGAAUGAUUUCUAGGUCCCUGAUCUCCUGGUCCAACUCCUCCUGAAAUGUUGGACUGGUGGCCUUCCUCUUUUGGCUUCUGGCCUCUCGGAGAGAGAGUGUCUUGGUUUGUGUCCAGUGGCUGCAGAGUAGCCCCUCGCGCUGUUAUCUACUUCGGCGGCAUAACGAAGGUUGAUGCUUUGCCGAAGGUUGUGGAAGUGAGUACACCGGAGGUGGGCGCCAAUGUUGGGGACUUGUUCUCAAAUGCUAUGAAUUAAGAACAAGGCAACACAAAAAGAAGUUAACAGUGAAUGCCCUUCGUCCUUUGAAGCAUUAUUUCCCUUAGGAUAUAACGAUCUUCGGACGAAGGUCAUGAAGGACAUACCUUCAUCAUCAUAGUUUAUGUUGAUAAAAGGAGAAGCGUAUGAAACAUGAGAGAAUAACAUGGAUAAUCACAUAACAUUAUUUACGUGUCUUUAUUAUAUAAUCAUUGAUGAAUAAAAACAAUAUUGAAUUACAUUUGUACCUUCAGCUUGACAGAAGGUGAAAGUACAAGCGUGACGCACGAGCGAGUACAAGUCAGCGUGAACAGUAUGGGGGUACUGUUCAUCUAUUUAUAGGCACAAGACGCAGCCUAUGUAAAAUUACAUUCAUGCCCUUCAUAUUUAGUAUUGACUUAAGAACAAUCUGUCGAGGACUAAAUAGCCUUUUCCUUCUUAAGUCGGUUCCUUUUUCUGCUAUUAAGCCGAAGCUUCCUUGCGCACAGCUUCGGCGCUGGUUCAACCUUCGUUCUGACCCUACUUUCCAUAUUGUGUACAACUUCAUCCCGAGUCUGAAGGUUCCUGUGCAUAUAUUAUGCUUGAGAAACAUUGUUAAUCAUGUUUUUGAGGACCUUCGGAAGACAAAGGCCCCCAACAGCCAGCAAAAGGGCAUGCAUUUGGGUAGAAAUCCAUUUGGUCAUGUUGUUCAUCCGUCUCAUCAUGUGAGAUGAAAUGACUUGGUUUAGGAAUAUAUGGAUUAAAUAAGAGAGCGAAUGAACCAACUCCUGCAUCUCAGCAGCAAGGAAAGUCAAUCUCCAUUUUGAGAACUAAUCAGUUGUCUCUCAAUACUAAAAAGCUUCAAGGCUCCACCUUUAAACAAAGGACAUAAAGUGAACUUGUAUGAGUAGUCACUACCAUGAUCAAAAGAAAAGAGACCACACACAAAAAAAUGGUAUGCCCUUUUUAUCCAACAGAAAUGAUAUAUGUUGCUUGAUCACUUGACAAACAACAUAGAACUAGUUUCAAGGGAGGAGUCCACGGAAGAUCACACAUCAGCGUAGUUCCACAAUGGAUCAUGACUAGAGACCUUGAUACCAGCAUCCGACGAGUAGCACAACCUUGCGUGUACAUUCACAAGGGGCUCUCAGUUUCGCUGCGGCACCUUAAGUCCUUAAUCAUGACACCAUCACUGAACUAGCACCAAUAAAGAAUCACAUGUGGUAAAACUAGAUUGUACCAAGAUAACACAUUUAUAUUGUCUCAUAAUGGAUUACAACUACUAAUCGUGAUACCAGCGCGUGCCGAGCAGCACGACCAUGUGUGUACAUUCACAGGAGGCCCUUGGUUUCGUCACAGCACCAUCGGUUUUAGUCAUAACACCAUUACUAGACAUAACCAAUAAGAAAUCUCGUGUGACACCAAUGGAUUGGGCAAGGGUGAUAAUAUACAAAGAGACUCUAUCUAUCAAAACGAUUACAAGUAGAGAGUCAAAUAGAUCAUGGCCUGAUGAAACGAACAAGGCAUGGCCAUAACCUAAACUUGAUGAAAGGAGUAUGAUGGGAGACUGUUACUUCAGCCCCAAGCAUAUUUUUAUGCCCAUCACAGAGAUUACAAGGUCAAGGAUUAGUAUCUUAUUAGAUACGGUGGGAAAACAAUCAUAAGAUUAAGUUGAUAUGCCUUAGAUAGGUAUGGGGAAACCAAAGGCAUCAAAUUCAAGAAAAUGAUCAAACCUGUCUUUUCUGGGUUGGGUUGAUAAAAUAACAACAUGAUCCUCAAGAAGAGGCAAAAUAGAAAUAUCUACUUGCACCAACCGAACAAGGGAAUGGUUUUGGUUGGAAACAUGACUCGAUAUUCUUGUUUUAAGCCCAGGUACACUUUAUGUCCAACAAAGAAAUUAUCUAAACAUUUAUUUGCAUGGGCUCGGUGUCGGAGGGAUAACAGAAAAAUCAAACUUAGGUCAUGGCUCACUAAAUAAAAACAUGGCUUAAUUUUGGGUUUAGGCAAUCAAGCCACCAACUCUCUAUUGGCACAUUAAGUACAAGAGCAAACACAUAUAUAACACCUAAAUAUAUUACCUAAAGAACAGAGGACAACUAUUUCAUAGAAGUUCAUAAUACAACAUUACACCAAAUUUUCUACACUCACCGACUACUAGAAUAAAGGUGAGAAUAGCUUUUUCGUGCACAGGUGAGAAACAAGAUGCAACAAUUAGGAUGCAUGCUCGUCCUAUUCACCCUCACACAUUUUGCCAACAUAAUGUGGAAAUAGCGUUCUAUAUCGGUGGCAUACUUAUGACUCUCACGGUAUUUUGCUAGUGGUCAACUACACAUAUGUUUUUGAGGUUAGUGUACCUGCAGAAAAUUCCAUCACAACCCAGUUUCCCAUGAUGCAAGAUCCACACAUGACAGUUUAUCACAGUUUAUAAUCCAUAUAUUGCUAUAUGGAGGCCAGCUCAUCAUUAAGCAUCGAGCGACGCAUAGGCGCCAUUGCCACACUUUAACCAUAGGGCAACCCAUUAUGGUAACUUACCUUCUUACCUGAGCGCAAGUGCGUCGUUACAAGUACAUUACACUUCUCAGUAUUCCCAUGUCUGUAUACCCAUACACAUCCAUGGGGGUACCGAAUUCCAAGAAAAGUAAAUACUCCACAUCGCAGCCUUCAUAUAUACAUAUGUGUAACAUGUAUAUAAUCAAACGCUUUUUAUACUCUUCCCUAGACCGACUGUUGUUCGGUCAUGCUCUCACAUAUCACCUUACCUUAGCGUCGAUCCAUUCAAGACUGAAUGGCCUCAAAAAUAACAUUACACAUGUAUGCAAUACCCCCGGUUGUGGGUUAGUGGUUUUUACCUAAGCCACCUGAUAGUCCUUAAUUUAGGGCUUAACAGAGGAUGUCGCUAGCAUUAUAGUUUUUCAAAUCUGUUUUCCAAAACCAAACAAUGUGUUUAGUUGAAAAUAGGUUUUCUAAAACCAAAACUUUGUUUUUAAAAUACGUAUGUGACCGUAUUAUACUUAAUCUUGCUCUGAUACCAGCUGUGGCAGAAGCUCCUAAGUUAUUAGGCCCAUAUGCACCUACCCUUGUCUCAAAGACCUCAGACGGCUAUGCAUGUGCACUAGAUAACUUAACAGGAUCCGUCCGAGUGCCCUAAGGAACCCGGAUAAACCACAUACAACCAGGAUCACAAUAUUAAGUAAACACAAAUCACACACCAACAUUUGCAGCGGAAUUUCUUUAUUACACAAAGUUACAAGUUACAACAAAUUUACAUUAUGUUUAUCGGAGUGAUUAUAAAAGUGAUUCAAAGAAAUAAGCUUUGAAAUGUUAUAAAUUAUUUAUAAUUUUGAAAUAUAUGCUAGCUUAAUAAAAAUCCUUAAUAAGAAGUAUAGGAGAGGUACUUAGACUUAUAAGAAGGCCGUGCCCACCGGCACUUAACACCAUCCAUGGCAGCACAAUACUAAUACCUGCAACAACGUGGGUUCGAAAACCUUGAUUAAGAAGUGUACUUUCGCAAGUCUUACCCGUCUAAGGAAAAAUACUCUCAAGAAUAUGAUGGCUUUUGGGAAUCAAGAUAAGGCUAAGCAAUAAUCAAGGACUCAUUUUGCAGAAACGCUUACUAAUAGUGGAUCCUUAAGCCAUCUUUUAAUUAUCAAGUUAAGUUCUUACCUGAUUCUAAAUUUGCCUAAUCUAGAUCAUUCACUUGUCCUGAUCUAGCUUUAUUUUAGCCAAUUCAUAUUUCACUUAAUAACUACGAUGAGUGGUCAGUGAGUUGAGUCUCCAUAACUGAGGAGCAAGGACGAUUCGAACCGAUUAUACCCAGAUGGGGAUCCCUAACCACACGACAUAUGUAGCACUUAACCCUUGCAUAUGUCAACCGUUCCCACAGAUCCUCCACAACGUGAACCGGUCCGCGCUACCUGGGAGCAUGGUACUCCUCCGUCUAGCCUCUAGCCAGGAGGGUACACGCUACUCCCACCAUCUCCCACGCCUAGUGCGCGGUUGUCUUUUCACGUAUGGAAUAGCCGGGUUCAGGCUUACCAGAGCAUGUGGCUAGUUGCAAAGUCUCACCUCAUCAGGCCUACAUCGAACGGUCCUUAAUCGACAUAGACGGGCGAACUUUCCUGCUCAACGUCUGGUCUACAUUACAUAUUAUUUUCCUAAAACUUGAUACCUGAGAGAGGUAUCCUACUUGAAUGAUGAAAUCAUCGCGGCCGCAAUGGGUUCAUCAUCACAAGUCCUUUUAUUUCACAAACUCCCAUAUCCCGUGUUAGACAUCAUCUUUUAAAAACCAUCCUAAAUUAAUAAGCAGGGCUAAGCAUCACUAAAUUUUCAUAAAAUAGGUAUUAGAGUUGUUUAAUCAAGGAAGGAAAUGCAUCAACUGUUUGAUCACACAACUCCUAUCACUUAAUGCAUCAUUCAAGGUGAUAAAACUUUUUAAAACUAAAGGAGGUGGCAAAUGCACUGGGGCUUGCCUGGAUAACACUAGGUUAGUGUUGUUAGACGACGUCCGCUUGACGACCAUCUUUUGUCUUGACAUUCGUCAGAUUAUCCAUCUUCAGGUUCGUCCGACUGACGACGUCGUCUUGCGGAGAUGUCCACUCCUAGCACCAUCUUGAGGUCAACUUGGCUCGUCUUCCGCAUCACGCGAUCAAUUAAUGUACCUCAUGGGAUGCACGAUGCACAUGUAUGAGCACAAGUAUAAAU
rnacentral:lncRNA from 1 species